AUACGUAGGUGGCAAGCGUUGUCCGGAAUUAUUGGGCGUAAAGCGCGCGCAGGUGGUUCCUUAAGUCUGAUGUGAAAGCCCCCGGCUCAACCGGGGAGGGUCAUUGGAAACUGGGGAACUUGAGUGCAAAAGAGGAUAGUGGAAUUCCAAGUGUAGCGGUGAAAUGCGUAGAGAUUUGGAGGAACACCAGUGGCGAAGGCGACUGUCUGGUCUGUAACGGACACUGAGGCGCGAAAGCGUGGGGAGCAAACAGGAUUAGAGCCCCUGGUAGUCCACGCCGUAAACGAUGAGUGCUAAGUGUUGGGGGGUUUCCGCCCCUCAGUGCUGCAGCUAACGCAUUAAGCACUCCGCCUGGGGAGUACGGUCGCAAGACUGAAACUCAAAGGAAUUGACGGGG
rnacentral:rRNA from 1 species